GUGUCAGCCGCCGCGGUAAGACGUAGGGCGCGAGCGUUGUCCGGAUUUAUUGGGCGUAAAGAGCUCGUAGGCGGCUUGUUGCGUCAGCUGUGAAAACCCGCAGCUCAACUGUGGGCUUGCAGCUGAUACGGGCAGGCUUGAGUUCGGUAGGGGAGACUGGAAUUCCUGGUGUAGCGGUGAAAUGCGCAGAUAUCAGGAGGAACACCGGUGGCGAAGGCGGGUCUCUGGGCCGAUACUGACGCUGAGGAGCGAAAGCGUGGGGAGCGAACAGGAUUAGAUACCCGCGUAGUCC
rnacentral:rRNA from 1 species